CAUCUUUUCUUGUUAGUUUUUGAAGUAUGGCCUGCCCACUGACUUAGAGUUGAAGGGCCGCGGUAUUUUGACCGUGCAAAGGUAGCAUAAUCAUUAGUUCUUUAAUUGUGAUCUGGUAUGAAUGGCUUGACGAGGCAUAAGCUGUCUUAGAGGUAUUGAUUUAUUGAAUUUGGUUUUUGAGUUAAAAUUCUUAAAUGUUUUUAUGGGACGAGAAGACCCUAUAGAGUUUGACAAUUUUCCUAUUUAUUCGUUGUUUGUAUUUAUUUACAUUGAGUGGGAGUGAAUUGUUUUGUUGGGGUGAUGGGAGGAAUAUUAUUUAACUCCUCUUUGUUUUUAUAUAUUUAUGUAUAUAUUUUUGAUCCAUUUAUUUUGAUUAUAAGAUUAAAUUACCUUA
rnacentral:rRNA from 1 species